AAUUAUUUAAUGGGGACAGAGUUUCAGCUGGGGAAGACGAAAGAGUUCUGGAGAUGGAUGGUGGUGAAGGCUGCACAACAAUGUGAAUAUACUUAAUGUCACAGGACUGUUCCCUUAAACAUGUUUA